GGGUCAGUAGGUUGGUCGUGCCACCGGUACGUACUGGUCUCACUGAUUCCUCCUUCCUGAAGAACCGUAAUGCCAUUAAUUUGGUGUUGCGGGGAAACAGGACUGUUACUUUGAAAAAAUUAGGGUGUUUAAAGCAAGCUAACGCUUGAAUACAUUAGCAUGGAAUAAUGAAAUAGGACGAUCAAUCCUAUUUUGUUGGUUUCUAGGAUUGACGUA
rnacentral:rRNA from 1 species